rnacentral:rRNA from 1 species
AGAGUUUGAUCAUGGCUCAGGAUGAACGCUAGCGGCAGGCUUAAUACAUGCAAGUCGAGGGGCAGCACGGCAGCAAUGCUGGUGGCGACCGGCGCACGGGUGCGUAACGCGUAUGCAACCUACCUUUGACAGGGGGAUAGCCCGUGGAAACGCGGAUUAAUACCCCAUAUGUCAUUUGGGUCGCAUGGUCUGGAUGAUAAAACUGAGGUGGUAUAAGAUGGGCAUGCGUCUGAUUAGCUGGUUGGUAAGGUAACGGCUUACCAAGGCGACGAUCAGUAGGGGUUCUGAGAGGAUAAUCCCCCACACUGGUACUGAGACACGGACCAGACUCCUACGGGAGGCAGCAGUGAGGAAUAUUGGUCAAUGGGCGCGAGCCUGAACCAGCCAUUCCGCGUGAAGGAAGAAGGCCUUAUGGGUUGUAAACUUCUUUUCUGUAAGAAGAAAAGUCCCGACGUGUCGGGAUGUGACGGUAUUAUAGGAAUAAGCAUCGGCUAACUCCGUG